rnacentral:rRNA from 1 species
UACGAAGGGGGGCUAGCGUUGCUCGGAAUCACUGGGCGUAAAGGGUGCGUAGGCGGGUCUUUUUAAGUCAGGGGUGAAAAUCCUGGAGCUCAACUCCAGAACUGCCUUUGAUACUGAAGAUCUUGAGUUCGGGAGAGGUGAGUGGAACUGCGAGUGUAGAGGUGAAAUUCGUAGAUAUUCGUCAAGAACACCAGUGGCGAAGGCGGCUCACAUGG